UCUCAAUUUCCCUGUUCCGGCGGCCCUAUACUGUCCCCGACGGGCGUGGGGAAAGUCGGUGGCUGCCUUUGGGAGAUCAACUCUUCAGGGCACAUUCCGGCACUGUCGCGCAACGGUAAUCCGCCUCCUCCUCUUCAGAGGGCAGCGGAAAGUCCGAACACCUGCCCCGUCCACGUUUCCCAG
rnacentral:ncRNA from 1 species